rnacentral:rRNA from 1 species
UACGUAGGGGGCAAGCGUUGUCCGGAAUCAUUGGGCGUAAAGAGCGUGUAGGCGGCCCGAUAAGUCCGCCGUGAAAGCCCAGGGCUCAACCCUGGGAUGCCGGUGGAUACUGUCGGGCUAGAAUCCGGAAGAGGCGAGUGGAAUUCCUGGUGUAGCGGUGAAAUGCGCAGAUAUCGGGAAGAACACCCGUGGCGAAGGCGGCUCUCUGGGACGGUACUGACGCUGAGACGCGAAAGCGUGGGGAGCGAACAGG